GCGUCGGUGGUAUAACGGUUAGCAUAGCUGCCUUCCAAGUAGUUGACCGGGUUCGACUCCCGGCCGACGCA
rnacentral:tRNA from 1 species